AGAGCGAACGUUAGCGGCGGGCCUAACACAUGCAAGUCGAACGAGAAUGGGGGGGCAACUCCCCUAGUAAAGUGGCGGACGGGUGCGUAACACGUAGGUAAUUUACCUUCCGGCGGGGGACAACAGCCCGAAGGGGCUGCUAAUACCGCAUACGUCGGCGAGGUCUCCGGACCUUGUCGGGAAAGAUGGCCUCUCCUUGGAAGCUGUCACCGGAAGAUGAACCUGCGGCCCAUCAGCUAGUUGGUGAGGUAACGGCUCACCAAGGCUAAGACGGGUAGCUGGUCUGAGAGGAUGAUCAGCCACACUGGGACUGCGACACCGGCCCAGACU
rnacentral:rRNA from 1 species